UGAUGUUUCAUAUAGGUUGUUCCUGAAGUAGUGGUAGGUUACUGUGUAUUAUUUUUCUCAUGUUAUUUUUAAGUGAAUCAUAAUUAACAAAAUGUGUUUAAUAAUAGGGAUAUAGUGCAACUCUCAGUGCUUGAAAUAAGACACAAGAUAGCAGAACUGGAAACCAAGCUCAAUACUGACGAUGAAGAGUUUCACUGACUAUUGGGAGGAAGUGUCAAACUAAAAUAUGAACAGAAGUAAUACAAGUUCUGCAUGAGGAGAAAUAGCAACUCAGACUCCGGAUGCGCAGGCU